rnacentral:rRNA from 1 species
GACGAACCGUGCGAACGUUGUUCGGAAUCACUGGGCUUAAAGGGCGCGUAGGCGGCUUCGCAAGUCCGGGGUGAAAGCCCCCAGCUUAACUGGGGAAGUGCCUCGGAUACUGCGGAGCUCGAGCGAGGUAGGGGCAGCGGGAACUUCCGGUGGAGCGGUGAAAUGCGUUGAUAUCCACAGGAACUCCGGUGGCGAAGGCGGCACGCUGGACCCCAUCUGACGCUGAGGCGCGAAAGCCAGGGGAGCGAACGGG